CGCGUAGGACAAGGCAGGAGGAGGGCGGCCCUUAUCGGUUCCCUAUAGGACUGGCUUCGCUGCCGGGGUCGGAGAUUCCUCGGCGCGGAGCUAGGGGCGGGUCCGGAGGCGGAGGCGACAGCGCCCGGCGGGGUACGCGCGGCUGCGACCCCGUCACUCCCCCGCCGCCUCCGCCCCUAACCCUCGGCCCCGUGCGCGAGCGAGCGAGGGAGCGAACGCAGCGCAACAAAACAAACUAGUGCCGGCUUCCUGUUGUGCAACUCGCUCCUGAGUGAGUCGGGGGCCGAAAGGGUGCUGCGGCUGGGAAGCCCGGGCGCCGGGGACCUGCGCGCGCUGCCCGGCCUGGCCGGAGCCUGUAGCCCGGGGGCGCCACGGCCGGGCUCGCAGUCCCCCCACGCCGGCCCCCCGGUCCCCGCCGAGCCAGUGUCCUCACCCUGUGGUUUCCUUUCGCUUCUCGCCUCCCAAACACCUCCAGCAAGUCGGAGGGCGCGAACGCGGAGCCAGAAACCCUUCCCCAAAGUUUCUCCCGCCAGGUACCUAAUUGAAUCAUCCAUAGGAUGACAAAUCAGCCAGGGCCAAGAUUUCCAGACACUUGAGUGACUUCCCGGUCCCCGAGGUGACUUGUCAGCUCCAGUGAGUAACUUGGAACUGUCGCUCGGGGCAAGGUGUGUGUCUAGGAGAGAGCCGGCGGCUCACUCACGCUUUCCAGAGAGCGACCCGGGCCGACUUCAAAAUACACACAGGGUCAUUUAUAGGGACUGGAGCCGCGCGCAGGACAACGUCUCCGAGACUGAGACAUUUUCCAAACAGUGCUGACAUUUUGUCGGGCCCCAUAAAAAAUGUAAACGCGAGGUGACGAACCCGGCGGGGAGGGUUCGUGUCUGGCUGUGUCUGCGUCCUGGCGGCGUGGGAGGUUAUAGUUCCAGACCUGGCGGCUGCGGAUCGCCGGGCCGGUACCCGCGAGGAGUGUAGGUACCCUCAGCCCGACCACCUCCCGCAAUCAUGGGGACACCGGCUUGGAUGAGACACAGGCGUGGAAAACAGCCUUCGUGAAACUCCACAAACACGUGGAACUUGAAAAGACAACUACAGCCCCGCGUGUGCGCGAGAGACCUCACGUCACCCCAUCAGUUCCCACUUCGCCAAAGUUUCCCUUCAGUGGGGACUCCAGAGUGGUGCGCCCCAUGCCCGUGCGUCCUGUAACGUGCCCUGAUUGUGUACCCCUCUGCCCGCUCUACUUGAAAUGAAAACACAAAAACUGUUCCGAAUUAGCGCAACUUUAAAGCCCCGUUAUCUGUCUUCUACACUGGGCGCUCUUAGGCCACUGACAGAAACAUGGUUUGAACCCUAAUUGUUGCUAUCAGUCUCAGUCAGCGCAGGUCUCUCAGUGACCUGUGACGCCGGGAGUUGAGGUGCGCGUAUCCUUAAACCCGCGCGAACGCCACCGGCUCAGCGUAGAAAACUAUUUGUAAUCCCUAGUUUGCGUCUCUGAGCUUUAACUCCCCCACACUCUCAAGCGCCCGGUUUCUCCUCGUCUCUCGCCUGCGAGCAAAGUUCCUAUGGCAUCCACUUACCAGGCAGGUGGUAUGUUGGAAGAAGAGUGGACUUUGGAAUCAGAAAACCUGGAAUCCCAACUUCACCGCUAACCGAGAGACCUUGAGCUGGUUCCUAAACCACGGGGAACUUCAGUUCCACUACAUGAGUUAUUGCAAAGGUUGAAUCGGAAUUGUGACACUGGCCAGCACACGUGUGAAACCAGGGGCAUCCCCUAUUGAUAAGGAGCCCAGCCCAAGAGCUUCAAGGGAAAUUGACCCCAGCCCCAGCUCCACUGAUGGGCUCGAUGAUUCAGAGAGGAAUCUCACUCCCUUGGUCAAAGUGAAUGGCUCAUAAAUCUGGGCCUAAGUCAAUCCGUGCAAGACAUUCCCCUGGCCAUAGGGAUUGGUUAAAAAAUGGACAUGUAACCCAGUUUGGGCUAAAUGAGAUGUGAACAGGAAAGUUAUUUGAUAGCUUCUGAGGAAGGUAGCUUCUCUUCUUUCUAGAGAGCCACUGGAAAGGUAGCCUUUUCUCCUCUGUGUUGUGGAGAGAAAAAAAAAGUGAAACUGUCUCCCUCUCAGCCCACACAGAAGGCUCACACUUGGUGAAGGGAAGGGUGGAGAAGAUUACAGAGAAUAGCCCUGAUGGAACCACACCUGAUUUCUACCUGACCUCUUAAUUUUUUCAUUUGUACAAGUCAGUAAAUGCCUUUUAAUUUUUAAACAAAUAAUUACAGCAACUUAUAGAGGUACCUAAGGUAUUAAGUUACCAUCAUGAAUACAAAGAUAAGCAAGACAAACUUCAAGGGGCUCACCACCUAAUAAAUAUUAUACUUUGCUUUUAUGACAUCAUUUUAGUCUUUUUUGUUGUUUUUUGUUUUUGUUUCUAAAUAGGAUCUUGCUUUAUCACCCAAACUGUAAUGCAGUGGUGUGAUCAUAGCUCACUACAGCCCCGACCUCCUGGGCUCAAGUGAUCCUCUUGCCUCAGCCUCCUAAGGAGCUGGGACUACAGGUGCGUGCCCAGCUAAUUUCUUUUAUUUUUGUAGAGGCAGGGGGGUCUCGCUAUGUUGCCCAGGCUGUGGGUUUUUCAGGGUAAAGUUAUGGCUCAUUCUCUCUUCAGGACCCUGCUACCAUUUGGUCAAUUUAAUAUUAUGCAAGAGAAAUUCCAUUUCCCUAGUAGUUACACAAUGCCCGCUUUCAGACCAGCUAGUCAACCCUGUGAGGGUCAGAUAGAGUAGUUUAUCCAUUUGGUUGUCAGACAACUGCCUCGAACAGCCAGGCCAUUUCUACAUGUUCUCAGUUACUGGUUAACAAAUGUUGCCCCAGAAUUCAGCACCUAAUAGGAAAUACAUUCAUUUCCAAAUUCCUACUGAAAUAGGAUUUUUCUCAUUCCUAGAUAAAACAGAGGCACCCAGAUUUUCCUGGAAUGGCAUUCAGAAAUAGAGAAGGAAUCAUAGAGAAAUGUCUGCCCAGGCAUCUCUGAGUCUCAUGCCUUUUUGCUGUUGCUGCUGUUAUGACUCCUACCUUGGAAAGUUUCAGUCAUCCUUGAACAUCCUCCCCACCCCCAUGCUUUCCUGUCUUCUGUUUCAUAACUAAAUGCCAUUUAAAACUCUAGCUAUAGAUACCCCUUGCUGAUAUAAGCAACAGAAGUAGAGAGUCCUUAGAUUCUAGACUGAAUUUAGGGCCCAACAGUUAGACAAUUGGAACUUGAUAAUAACGUUAUCUCAGCAGAUUGCGUAAGUCAGAAAUGUUCUCCCUGUCACUGCUUUCUUUUUCCUUCCAGCAAGAAGUGGACAUUAAGGAGAAAGUGAAGGUGGCAAGUUAUGAGUGAUCUGUUUAAGACACAGUUUAGUUAUGGCAAUGAUAACAACUCACAUUUAUUAGGGGCUUAUUAUGUAUCAGGCUGAGCAAAGUACGUAAGAUUCUUGAUCUCAUUUAAUUCUCACAGUGUAGAGGCUAAUGAGUGGUGGAGGUGAGAGGAGGACGCAGCCUCCCUUGGCUCCAGGGCACACACUCUUAGCUGUAACACUCUAUUGCCUCCAUAAAGUAUGCUUAAU
rnacentral:lncRNA from 1 species